rnacentral:rRNA from 1 species
AUGGUGAAGGACAAGACGUCGGCUUUGGAGCGCGCGAAGAAGGCGGUGGUGCAGGGGAAGGGGAAGAAGUCCGCUCGGGGCGGAUCUUCCUCGAGGACUGCUCUGCCCAGGGAUUGGAUCCAGGGCGACUGGAUGCCCUCGGUGAUUCGGCAGGAAGAUCUUGACGACAUGGUCGAGGGGGGAGUCAUUCCCCAUGAAGCUGCGCGUCUCCCGGGGGGAGAAGUCGAACCCCAACCUCGUGACGGUGAGUGCGUCCUCCUCGCCACCCAUAUCGAUCGCGGAUUUUCUCUACCUCCUCAUCCUUUUUUCCGGAGCUUUUUGAACUUCUUCAGAGCGCAGCUCCAUCAUUUCACUCCCAAUUCCAUCGUGUAUCUUGCGGCUUUCGUUUCCUUGUGCGAAAGUUUCUUGGGUUGCCGCCCUCAUUGGGGACUCUUUAAACACAUCUUCACUUGCCGUUCCCAAUCGGUAAAGAAAGCCAAGUCGAGUGACGAAUGGACGCAAGUGAUCCAGCUAUGCGGGGGCCUGGCGAUCCAGAUGAGGGGUAAAAGUUCUUUUCCGUCUAUCACUUUUCCCGAGUCGGUCCGUGGUUGGCAGUCGACCUGGUUUUAUUGCCAAGACCAGGUGACCCCAGGGCAGUCGACUGGUCUUCCCCCUUUCUCUCUGGACCGAGCUCAAAAGCCUGCCUCUCUGAAAGUGCUGCCGGAGGAAAAGGCGCAAGUCAAGGUGCUGGUUGGUCGAGUGGUUCAGCUUGUCCGAGACGGCAUGACCGGCAUGGACUUGCUGGAGGUCUUCCUUCGGAGGCGCAUCCAACCGCUUCAGGCUCGUGACCACCCUAUGUGGCUGUACUCGGGUCUCGACGACACCACUCGGGUUCACCCAGAGGAGGUCACCGACGAGAUGCUGGAAGGGUGGCUAUCGAGCAUCACAGGGAACAAAGACAACCCCCGAGGAGCCAGGAGGGUUGUCCCGCUUGACAGUACAUACGACGUGGACCAGGCAACUACAGAGAUGUACUCGACACCCAACAGAGCACAGGGGCAGGCCGAGGAAGGGGAGGCGAGCGGAGGCGAAAGCGGAGACGAACAGGGGGAGUGGGAGUCUGACGGUGAAGGAGAGGGAGACGACGGUGUCGACUCCAGCGAAGAGGAGGAGGAGGAGGAAGCUGGACCUCCCCGCUCGAAAAGGCGAUCCAAGCUUACACACGAUCUUGCGCGGGAACGUGGUAAGGCGACUGCUCCCGUUGGGCAGUCGUCGAAGCGCCCUCGGACCUCUUCUCCAGCGCCGACUGAAAAAGCUCCCAAGCACCCCCGCACGGCGCCGUCCAAGCCACCCAAGGCUCUGCCCAAGAUGAGGAUGACUGUCCCCACCAUUUCUCGUGCUGCUACUUUUGAGAUCUCCGCCAAGGACGAUGAUCAAGAGAUGGAAGAUGCGGUUACUUCCAACCCUGCUCCUCCUCAUGUUAUUAGCCUUCCUGACGACAAAGACGAAGCGCCGCUGAGAGUGAGGCGGAACAGGAAAGUGUCGGCUGGCGAGACUCCACAAUCCACUCCGGCGCCUGAGGCCGUAGCUCGAGACGGUGGCGAUACCACCCGGGCUUCUGUGACUUUCGCCAAUCCUCUGGCGAGUGCGCGGCCCUCGACGUCGACCGUAAAUCCGCCUUCGCUCUUCGCCACACACCACGUCCCUGAGGACCAAGUGGGUGCAGCUAAGGAAGCUAUACGCUAG